rnacentral:rRNA from 1 species
UACGUAGGGGGCAAGCGUUGUCCGGAAUCACUGGGCGUAAAGCGCGUGUAGGCGGCCCGGUAAGUCCGCUGUGAAAGUCGGGGGCUCAACCCUCGGAUGCCGGUGGAUACUGUCGGGCUAGAGUGCGGGAGAGGCGAGUGGAAUUCCUGGUGUAGCGGUGAAAUGCGCAGAUAUCAGGAGGAACACCAAUUGCGAAGGCAGCUCGCUGGAACGUAACUGACGCUGAGACGCGAAAGCGUGGGGAGCAAACAGG